UACGAAGGGGGCUAGCGUUGUUCGGAAUUACUGGGCGUAAAGCGCGCGCAGGCGGGCUUCCAAGUCAGUGGUGAAAGCCCGGAGCUCAACUCCGGAACUGCCAUUGAAACUGUUAGACUUGAGGAUGAGAGAGGUGAGUGGAAUUCCCAGUGUAGAGGUGAAAUUCGUAGAUAUUGGGAAGAACCCCGGUGGCGAAGGCGGCUCACUGGCUCAUUACUGACGCUCAGGCGCGAUAGCGUGGGGAUCAAACAGG
rnacentral:rRNA from 1 species